rnacentral:rRNA from 1 species
CGAAAGCCUGACGGAGCAAGACCGCGUGAGGGAGGAAGGCUCUUGGGUUGUAAACCUCUUUUCUCAGGGAAGAAGCUCUGACGGUACCUGAGGAAUCAGCCUCGGCUAACUCCGUGCCAGCAGCCGCGGUAAUACGGAGGAGGCAAGCGUUAUCCGGAAUUAUUGGGCGUAAAGCGUCCGCAGGCGGCUAAUUAAGUCUGCUGUCAAAGCCCACAGCUCAACUGUGGAUCGGCGGUGGAAACUGGUUAGCUUGAGUGCGGUAGGGGUAGAGGGAAUUCCCGGUGUAGCGGUGAAAUGCGUAGAUAUCGGGAAGAACACCAGUGGCGAAGGCGCUCUACUGGGCCGCAACUGACGCUGAGGGACGAAAGCUAGGGGAGCG